rnacentral:rRNA from 1 species
UGGGGAAUAUUGCACAAUGGGCGAAAGCCUGAUGCAGCAACGCCGCGUGAGUGAUGAAGGCCUUCGGGUUGUAAAGCUCUGUCUUUUGGGACGAUAAUGACGGUACCAAAGGAGGAAGCCACGGCUAACUACGUGCCAGCAGCCGCGGUAAUACGUAGGUGGCAAGCGUUGUCCGGAUUUACUGGGCGUAAAGGAUGCGUAGGCGGAUUUUUAAGUGAGAUGUGAAAUACCCGGGCUUAACUUGGGUGCUGCAUUUCAAACUGGGAAUCUAGAGUGCGGGAGAGGAGAAUGGAAUUCCUAGUGUAGCGGUGAAAGUGCGUAGAGAUUAGGAAGAACACCAGUGGCGAAGGCGAUUCUCCGGACCGUAACUGACGCUGAGGCAUGAAAGCGUGGGUAGCAAACAGGAUUAGAUACCCUGGUAGUCCACGCCGUAAACGAUGAGUACUAGGUGUAGGAGGUAUCGACCCCUUCUGUGCCGCAGUUAACACAAUAAGUACUCCGCCUGGGAAGUACGAUCGCAAGAUU